GGGGGUGACCGGUUUCGACAGGGAUAAAGAGGAUUGACGAGGCAUACCGGGGAGUUUACCUACCCGUUAAUCACGGUAAAAACAAAAUCUAAAUGCAAAUUACGAAUACGCAUUAGCAGCUUAAAUUCUGCUACGCUUACCUUAGGCUUGUCAUCGGCUUAAGAAUAAGUGUCAUAAUUGAUGACUGCACAACGGUGAACUGCUUCGCAGCUGUUGUAAAGACUUAGAAGCUGGCUUUUAGUGAGGUUUGAUUGUGACUCCUGCUAAGAGUGAGGAUAAAAACAACUAAGUAUGUAGAAUCGGCUUUUGUCUUAUCUUUGGACGCGGGUUCGAUUCCCGCCACCUCCACCA
rnacentral:tmRNA from 1 species